CGUAGUGAGGAACGUAUUAGUUUUACUAUAAUGUUAUAUUUUUUCAUUCGUUUAUCUGCAAAUAACUUUUCUACCAGAUAUUUUAAUGUCAUGCUCCAAUCAAAAACUUUAUAGAAAUGUUUUUUUCGAUAUUUUAGUUUAGUUUGUGUACUGAAAAGAUAAUUUUUUGAUUUUCCUUGUAGGAUUUUAUUAACCGGAAAAAUGGAAAAUUUUGUAUAAUUGUCGAGCUAUUUAGGUAACAUG